GAGACAUGCAUAGAAAGAAGAAGAAGGAAAUUCACAUCAUGAGAUUGAUCGGCGAGAGAAGGAGAAAAGGGGGACGGCAGGAAGAAGAAGAAGAAGAGGAAUCUGGAGGCAAUUCUGGAUCCAAGGGCGGAGCCACGUUGGGGCCUAGUGGGUCCCGUGCCCCACUGGGAUUUUUAGAGAAUAAGUAGUAUAGAGUUUCCGGUGGUAACUAAAUGUUGAGUUGGUUCAGUGGUAGCUCCUACUUUCUAGCUACUAAUGUAGCUGUAGGUUUGCAGUUCGAGUCCUUAAUGCUGCUAUGGUCCUGCAAGCUUCUUCUUCUCCAUCCAUCUCAUAGGUAUUUAAAAUUUUAUUGUACAAGUUAUGUGUAUCAAUGAUUUGUUAGAUUGUUUGA